GCAGUCGUGGCCGAGUGGUUAAGCGAUGGACUCGAAAUCUAUUGGGGUUUCCCUGCGUAGGUUUGAAUUCUAUCGUCUGCG
rnacentral:tRNA from 1 species